CCUACGGGCGGCAGCAGUGAGGAAUAUUGGUCAAUGGCCGGAAGGCUGAACCAGCCAUGCCGCGUGAAGGUCAGUGCCCUAUGGGCGUUAAACUUCUUUUGUGCGGGAGCAAUAAUGGUCACGUGUGGCCAGACGAGAGUACCGUACGAAUAAGCAUCGGCUAACUUCGUUCCAGCAGCCGCGGUAAUACGGGGGAUGCAAGCGUUAUCCGGAUUUAAUGGGGUUAAAGGGUGCGUAGGCUGGGAGGUUAGUCAGCGUGGAAAUGCCUGCGCUCAACGGGGUGAAGUGCCAUUGAUACUGGCUUGCUGGAGUGCGGAUGCGGUAGGAGGAAUGUGUGGUGUAGCGGUGAAAUGCAUAGAUAUCACGCAGAACACCGAUUGCGAAGGCAUCUCACGAAUCCGCGAUUGACGCUGAUGCACGAAAGCGUGGGUAUCAAACAGGAUUAGAUACCCUGGUAGUC
rnacentral:rRNA from 1 species